rnacentral:rRNA from 1 species
GAGUUUGAUCCUGGCUCAGAUUGAACGCUGGCGGCAUGCCUUACACAUGCAAGUCGAACGGCAGCACGGGAGCUUGCUCCUGGUGGCGAGUGGCGAACGGGUGAGUAAUGCAUCGGAACGUAUCCUGGAGUGGGGGAUAACGUAGCGAAAGUUACGCUAAUACCGCAUAUUCUGUGAGCAGGAAAGCGGGGGACCUUCGGGCCUCGCGCUCUUGGAGCGGCCGAUGUCGGAUUAGCUAGUUGGUGAGGUAAAGGCUCACCAAGGCGACGAUCCGUAGCAGGUCUGAGAGGAUGAUCUGUCACACUGGAACUGAGACACGGUCCAGACUCCUACGGGAGGCAGCAGUGGGGAAUUUUGGACAAUGGGGGCAACCCUGAUCCAGCCAUGCCGCGUGAGUGAAGAAGGCC